rnacentral:sRNA from 2 species
GUCCGUACCGAGCCGCGCGACACCGGCGGCGCCAUCGGUGGGGGCCUUGGGGUGAAGCCGCGAAAGCGGCCGGGCAACCUUCCCGCCCGAACCCGACAGCUAACCUCGCAGGCGUGCCGGAGGGAUCUC